AAGUCGUAACAAGGUUUCCGUAGGUGAACCUGCGGAAGGAUCAUCAUUGAAUCUUAUAUUCUACACACCCUUGUGAACCGCGUGGCCCGCUCGGGGCAAGAAUGCUCAGAGCGCGCACGCAACCUAUAUAACGUCUGGUGUUGGCGGAAUCUGUGUAGGCACGUAUGGCCGGAGAGACGCGCAUGCUCAUUGUGCGCGCCCGCCGACGAUGCGACGCUGCAGGCCGCCGGCACGCACACGGACGCGUUGAUAACAACGACAACACAAACUCUGUAACAAAACGAAAGCUAAAGCAACGCCACCGCAUGUCGGUGUGUGUGAAAUUUAAUAAAACAACUUUCAACAAUGGAUCUCUUGGCUCUC
rnacentral:misc_RNA from 1 species